rnacentral:rRNA from 1 species
UGAUGCAGCACGCCGCGUGCGGGAAGAAGGCCCUAGGGUUGUAAACCGCUUUCAGCAGGGAAGAAACUGACGGUACCUGCAGAAGAAGGUGCGGCCAACUACGUGCCAGCAGCCGCGGUGACACGUAGGCACCAAGCGUUAUCCGGAUUUAUUGGGCGUAAAGAGCUCGUAGGCGGUUUAGUAAGUCGGGUGUGAAAACUCAGGGCUUAACCCUGAGAGGCCACCCGAUACUGCUAUGACUUGAGUACGGUAGGGGAGCGGGGAAUUCCUGGUGUAGCGGUGAAAUGCGCAAAUAUCAGGAGGAACACCGGUGGCGAAGGCGCCGCUCUGGGCCAAAACUGACGCUGAGGAGCGAAAGCGUGGGUAGCAAACAGGAUUAGAUACCCUGGUAGUCCACGCCGUAAACGUUGGGCACUAGGUGUGGGUCUCAGCUAACGAGAUCCGCGCCGUAACUAACGCAUUAAGUGCCCCGCCUGGGGAGUACGGUCGCAAGACUAAAACUCAAAGGAAUUGACGG